AGAUGGUGAACUGUGCCUGUGAAAUUUGAAGCCAAAGCAAACUCUGAUGGAAGGACUAACGAUUCUGAUGUUCAAGUAUAUUAAAUGUGAUGAGUAUAAGGAUGAAAGACUUGUCAGACCAUCUAGUAG
rnacentral:ncRNA from 1 species